CGGGGUGUAGCUCAGUUUGUGAAGAGCGCACGCUUGGGGUGUGUGAGGUCGCUGGUUCAAAUCCAGUCAUCCCGA
rnacentral:tRNA from 1 species